rnacentral:snoRNA from 1 species
GGGGUGUGCUCAGAGCAGGGCGCCUGAAGAAUAGUUCCUCUGUUUACGAGCACACCCAACAGGAAUCUGGGGUCACUGUGGUGAGGGACACAAAACUUGUGGCCUCCCUAUGAACAAACGCCCUACAUGU